rnacentral:lncRNA from 1 species
GUAGCCCCUGACGUUCACCAGGUCGGGGGGCAGGUUGUUGGCCAGGGGGAACCAGCGCUCCGUGGUCUCCUCGUACCUAAGCAUGGACGGGGGUUCCCCCUGAUACGGGUGCGGGGCAAGGGGUCCCCCGAGGAAGUCCCCCAGGGCCACCAGGACCGGGGUCCCGCGCAUGCGGGCCUCCCUCAGCCUCUGCUUCAGGCUGCAGUCCCCGGGGGCCUGCGGCGGCGACAACAGUAGCGGGAAUUGCGGCUGACACAGCACCUGGUGGAAGCGCAGCACCAUGAAGCGCAGGCAGGCGUCCUGCAGGUCGGGCAGUCCGUACACCUGCGCCAGGCGGUACAGCUCCAGGCAGUUGCCCAGACGCACGUGCGACAGCAGCAAGCGCAGAAGCGCCGUGACCUGCAGAAAGGACGCGGCCUCCACCAUCUCGGACAGCCCCAGCCCUCGCGCGCGCCGCCCGCGUUGAUGAAGUCCAGCACCAGCCGCAGGCCCGGAGCGCUCAGGC